CUACUCUAUUAGUUUGAAAUACUUGAGUUUUUGCAUAGAAGUAGAGACUUUAACAUAAGGAAAAUGUUAAACAUAGCCCUCAGAAUUGCGAUUAAUAUUUUAAAAAUCUAAAAAAAUGUAUAAAAAUAUUUUAAAUUUAUAAAUAUUUUGACAUUUUAUAUUUAUGGAAGAUGUACUCUUUGUUUGUCCAUUAGACCAUCCUAAGGGAUAGUUAAAAAAGGCUUGUUAGGAAUUUUAGCCAAUGUAAUUCUAAUUUUGAGCUCUAAUGGGUUAGCUAUUAGGUUAGCAACUUACAGCAUCUCCAGCAGCUUGGCUAUUCUUUCCCUUUAGCCAUAGAAGCGAGCUUGGAAGCGUAAAACAUUGCUCCAGCAGACUCGCUCAAGGAUCGCUAGAAUGGUGGUGAGCUACAGUACCUCGCCAGGACAAGCGAGGUACUGUUCAUGAGCCUUUCAAUUUUUUAUUUAUUUUUGCCUCCUAAAUUCUGUUUUUGGCGGUAAAAUUUUUCCCUCUUUUUGGUGCUAAAAUUCUGUCAGUACCUCCCCAAACAAAUCUAUAGAGAAGGCAUUCCAAAACUCAAACUCUCUCAUCCUCUCUAUCUUUUUCUCAACCUUUCUGCUCAAGGGAGGUAAAGUUUUGUCAUUUACGUUUGUUUAUGCCAUGAAUAGUGGAUAAGAAAUUGGAGAAUAUGAAAGCAAAUGUUCAAAUUAUUGCAUUCUUAUUUCAUUAUUUGUUGAUUUUGGCAAAAGUAUUACACAUUGCCUUGUCAUUUGUUCAGAUUAUGUGAAUAUAUAUUUUCUCCUUUGCUUUGUGGCUUCCAUGGUUUUUAAUCUCAUCUCAGAAAUUGUUGUAGCAAGUUAUGGCUCCAAGUUCUUAAUCAAUAGGUCAUUAUUUUACUACCUGUAAAAGAGAAACCAGUUUGUAUUUAUAUUGCACACCAUAUGUUUGUUGUAAUUUCUGUUAGAAUAAAGAUUGUAAAUUGUAUCCAAUUAUUUCUUGUAUUAGUUCUUCUAUCAUAUUUGACAAGAAUAUUCAUUAAUAUCCAAUUUUGAUUGAUUGUUUCAUGAAAACAAGGCCUAGGAUAUUUCAAUAUAACAACACUCAACACUCCCUAUCCUCCAAAGCCUUCAAAUGUACUGGAUCUCCCUAUCCUCCAAAGCUGUCUAAAACAGAGGAUUCCACACCACUAUUAAAUCAUUUGAAUUGUGCUGUUCAACCACCGGUAUGGAUUCACAACAAGAUGGUUACUUUACCAAUCUUUUACAAGAAAGGCCCAACAUUGAUGAACAUUAUCUAAUGGAAUCUUAAUAUUUGAAUCAAAACACUCAAGUCUUCGCCCAAGAGUCUCAAUUUACUGCUGAAAUUGAAUCUUUGUCGAAGAAACCUCAACGUGGAGGAAACUUCACAAUUGAAGAAGACAAACUCCUUGUAUCGGCUUGGCUUAAUAUUAGUUUAGAUGCGGUACAUGGGAAUGAGCAAAAACGCUCUACCUAUUGGAAAAGAGUGUGGGAUUUUUUCCAUGAGCACAAGAAAUUUGAGUCUAAUCGAAAUGAGAAUUUUCUUAUAAAUCGAUGGUCAACCAUUCAGCUUGCCAUGAAUAAGCUUUGUGGGUGCUACGCCCAAAUUGAAUCAUUGCAUUAAAGUGGCAUAAAUGAGGAUGACAAGAUUUGCAAGGCGAAAAUUAUGUACAAGGAACUCAAGAAAUCUACAUUCCAAUUCGAAUACUGUUGGAUUAUGUUAAGGGAUCAACCAAAAUGGGUGGUAGAGUCUGAGAAGAAAAAAUAACCAAAAAGACCAAGAACAAGGACAAUCUCUUCUCCUUGUACUCCGGAUUCAAUAAAUCUAGGGGAAGACGAUGUCUCACCUAAUGAUUUUGUAGACUUGGAGAGACUAACCGGUAGGAACGCUGAAAAGGAGCGAUUGAAUAAACCAAAGAACAAAGAAAGCGUAAAUUCGAGUAUUACAAAAACUUUGGAGGACAUCAAGCAAGACAAAAAGAAAAUGAUUGACAAGAAAAUUGAAAUGAUUGACAAAGUGUACGUUCAAAAAGAAGUGGAACUUCGUAUCAUGCAAGAAAAACAUGAGGUGGAACUUCAAAAGCAUGAAAUGGAACUUUUCAAAGAGGACGAAAGAGUUAUUUUGAUGGAUCUCAGUGGCUUGCCGGAAAUCCAACAAGAUUUUUAUCGUGCUCGGCAGAUGGAAAUCAUUAAGAAAAGAAGAACGAAUUAGUAUUCAUUCUUUCUUUGCUCUUUAUGAUAUUUUGGCUUUUGUCUAGUAGGCUAGAAACUUGGUAUAUGAUAUUUUGGCUUUUGCUUUUGGCUCUACUUUUGUCUAGGAUAGAUGUUGAACUCAGCAAUGUUUUGGUACACAAUGUUAGUUGUCUAAUCUGAUGCUUUUUGUGCUGUGUUGUUCUACUGCUUUUUGUGUUGUGUUGCUGCCAUUUUUGGCCUGUUUUCUAAUCUAUUUUUGUUGCUAUUUUGCUGGUGUUUUUGGGCUGUUUUGAUGGCAUUUUUGGGCUGUUUUGCUGCUGUUUAAUGUAAGUACUAAUAUUUACUUGUUCUUAGAUUUUGAAUCCAAAAAUAGGUUGUGGUUGA